UUAUCUGGUGCACAUGCAUAGCCGUCUGAGGUCUUUGAGACAAGGACAGGUGCAUGUGGGCCCAAUAACUUAGGAGGUUCUACAACAAUUGCCGAUUAGUUGGUGCCUCCAGUAGAAGAAUACCAAUAGAUUGAAUGUUUUGUGUUGUGGGUUGGAGAAUGUUGUGAGUUCGUAUGAUAGGGUAAGGUGACUUACUGGAAUUGGUUAUGCCAUAGAAAAGGGAAGUGUGCGUUGCAAAAUGGUCUCUGUGACCUUUAGCAAUAAAACACGUAAUAUAAGUGUAUGUAGAAAUUGUAGACCUAUUAGUUUAGUUAGUUACCUUAAUCUCAUUGAUGUUGUUUUCUUUCUCUUCAUUUUGUUGAUUUCCUUCCAAAUUUCAUCCCAUCAGUUGCUUCUUAAUCUGCUGAUUUCAGGAACAAGCUUUGUGACUUAUUUUAGAUUUGAGCAGCACGGUCAUAACAUUGCUGCCACACCAGAACUCUUUAAUUCUUCAUGCUCUUAUGGAUCUAUUUUAUUCAUAUGUUCGAGUGAAUAUUUUCUCUAGCAAGAUGCCAAGAAAGAUGAUCCCCUAGGUUUACAACAUCUUGCACUAUGUCCUACGCGUUACUGGCCAAACGACAACGCCGUGGAGUGCAGCAAUGACAGGAACUACCUCUGUAGGAACCGGUUCAACAAGUACUUCGACAUCACGUGGGUGGAGCAGACUUGGUGGGCGGACAACUAUGACUGUGUUGUCGUCUAGCACGAGCACCCCUCGCGCGACGUCGACUAUGACGAUGAAGAUUCGGCUGCGCCCGUAACCCCAUGCCAAUCCAAGGACGACGAGCACCAACGGCACCAGGCGAGCGGGGACUAGGGGACGACUGUAGGCCUCCCCCUCUUUCUCGCCUCCACUCACCCGCCACCACCCCAACGACGAGGGAGUGAGAGAUCGGCAGCAUCUCAGGGCCUGGCAGGGCAGCUGCAUUGCGCUGUGGUGGCCAUGGCUGAUCCAUACGAUGAGGAUAUGGGAUCAUCGCUAAAGAGCCAACAGUCACACCCUGGCCUCCGCCACAAGCCCGCCAUUGAGAUAUUUAGUUAUCAUGUCUCCAUGCUUAUUUUGAUUAUACACUACCUUGGUUAAUUUUCAAUCAUCUCCAUGGGUACAUUUUUUCUUAGUUGCUUAAACUAGCACUAUUUCGCACAAAUUGUACUAGUACAAGAUUUGAUGUAAAAUUCUAGGCAAAAAUGUAUACUGCAAGGGUGGCAUUAGUGGUGAACUGGUGAUAACAUGCAGGCAAAGGUCACCAAGGAGAUGCAAGGUUCAAAAUCCUCCCUCCCUCAUGUGUGCAGUUUUCCAUGUGUCAAGUAGAGUCAGUACACAAAACAUUUGUGUCGGCUUGCAGCUGCUUAGCAGUAGUUGGGAAUUAGCCGAUCGAGUUUGAUCU